UACGGAGGGUGCGAGCGUUGUCCGGAAUCACUGGGCGUAAAGGGCGCGUAGGCGGCAUGCCAAGCGUGUGGUGAAAGCCCGGGGCUCAACCCCGGGUCGGCCGUGCGGACUGGCAUGCUCGAGCACUGUAGGGGCGGGUGGAAUUCCGGGUGUAGCGGUGGAAUGCGUAGAGAUCCGGAAGAACACCGGUGGCGAAGGCGGCAUCCUGGACCAAUUCUGACGCUGAGGAGCGAAAGCCAGGGGAGCAAAGCAGG
rnacentral:rRNA from 1 species